rnacentral:tmRNA from 1 species
CAUCUUGCAUGGCGGGCUGGACGCGCUUAUCUUUGGGGCGUUCUUCGGAACUAUGGCGAUAAACGCGCCCGUAAUAAGCGGACUGGACCCGGGGGCGGUACCCGGCGGCUCCACCAGAAACCCGGCGUUGGCGGGACAUGGGGCCGAAACAGGAUCGACGGACGUCUAAAGGGGUUAGCUUUCGCUCGGUGAGGUACCACCGUUAUCGGUCCGAAAAGCAUAAUUGCCAACGACAAUCAUGCUCCGGUGGCCGUUGCCGCGUAAGCGGUAGCCAAACCGAAACCUGAAGCCCAGGCGCUUAGCAGCGUCUGGCGGGGUCCGCAGGCACCUGGCAACAGAAGCCUGCACU